AUACGUAGGGGGCAAGCGUUAUCCGGAUUUACUGGGUGUAAAGGGAGCGUAGACGGUGUGACAAGUCUGAUGUGAAAACCCGGGGCUCGACUCCGGGAUUGCAUUGGAAACUGCCAUACUUGAGUGCAGGAGAGGUAAGCGGGAUUCCUAGUGUAGCGGUGAAAUGCGUAGAUAUUAGGAGGAACACCGGCGGCGAAGGCGGCUUACUGGACUGUAACUGACGUUGAGGCUCGAAAGCGUGGGGAGCAAACAGGAUUAGAUACCCUGGUAGUCCACGCGGUAAACGAUGAAUACUAGGUGUUGGGGGUCUAUAGACCCUCGGUGCCGCAGCAAACGCAAUAAGUAUUCCACCUGGGGAGUACGUUCGCAAGAAUGAAACUCAAAUGAAUUGACGGGG
rnacentral:rRNA from 1 species